AGACUUGUCAUUUUACAACAGCUAUAAUCAAAUGUCCAUCUUGGGUUCAUAUUCAUCAAAAAAUAAGUUGGAAAAGGUACCCCUGGCCUAACAUGCAAUAUGUGCUUGCAUAAUAUAGAAAUGAUGAAACCUCAUUCUCAAGAAUUUACAUAGAAAUUUCAUGAUAAAUGACACAAGCAAACAUUUAUCAAUUGGCAAAUAUAUGCAAAGGGAAAAACUAAGCAUCUUGUAAAGGCUGCAACAAAAUACAUACACCAGAAGAGAAUAAGAGAUUACUUUUAUUUUUCAAAUGUUAGAUGAAUUCUUAUAAAGAUUAUCAGAAAUAGUUUAGCUGUAAUUAAGACUAAUUCAUGAUCUAACUAGAAUUAGUUCAUUUCAAGCUUCACCAGAAAUUCAAACCUCAAUUAAUUACAUUAAUCAGAACUAUGUAAUUGUCACCACAGCUCCAAAUAAUCAUUCUUCUUAUAAGUAACUAGUUAAACACUUUAAGCAGUAUGAAUUAAUAUUUUUAGGCCAUGGAAGGAUGUUCAGAAGUUAAAAUAGCAGCCACAUUUGACCUUCACUUCCAUCCGUGUUGCUUUCAACAUGAUCACCAUAAUCACGAAAGUCUAUAAAACUUCAGCUAUCAAGAAAGGAUCCAAUUCAAAAUGAUAGUGUCAACACAAAAUAAAAUGAAAAACUAAAGCCACAACAAAAGACUUGAAAUUACAAAUGUUUGACACAUCCAGACAAUAGGAGCAGUGGCACAUCCAGAAAAUAAGAGCAGUUAAUAUGUUAAGGAAUAAAAAUGCUUCAGCCUUCACAACAAAAUAAGAAAAGGUAAUUUUACUUUGAAAAGAAGUAAGUUUAAGGGGAUGGAGAAAUGAAAGAAAUAGAAAAGCAAAUUUAAGCAGUAUUCAUAUCAUAAACUAAAUUUGAAAUUUUUUUCAUAUAUUCUUCUUCUACUGAGAAGAGCUAGCUGACAGGAAAAUAUACAAUUUUGUAGGACUAAAUAUUGUAGUUCUACAACUUUGAUGCCGCUACUAAACAAUUCAAAUGCAUGAAUUAUAACUAACACUGAUUGGGAAUGAAAGAAGAUCCUUGAAAUACAUGCAACCACAAAAUUGAGAUCAGCAACUUACUCCUUUUGCAAGAUAAUGUAACCA
rnacentral:misc_RNA from 1 species